GGUUGGUAGGCGGGAGUGGCUGAGGGCGAGUGUUGGACGAGGAAGCCUCGGUUCUGUCCCGGGUGUCGCCCGAGUCGCUUUCCUUUCAUGAAAUAAGGAAGGAGCGAAGGCACGCGCGCCUGCCUGGGAGGCAAAUUCUGCUCCUGGACGGCGAGCGCCGCUUUCUGCAGUCUCUUUUAGAUUUAUUAGUUGAGUCCCUGAAGUCUGAAAACCAUGGAGCAGUACCCAGACCUACAAGAAGACCUGAGUUUGGAGGAUACCAAUGAAUCCCUUAAUCAGCUCAAAUUGGCCUCUCUAGAUGACAAGAACUGGCCACCGGAUGAAGUUCCUGUUUUUCCAAAGUCUGAUGAUACCAAGGGCUCUCCUGAUUCUGUUACUCACUUGCGGUGGGAUGAUCCAUACUAUGACAUUGCUAGACACCAGAUAGUGGAAGUAGCAGGACAGGGUGCACUUCAUGGGGGCCAGUCAGGUGAUGACAAGUAUGGGCGGAAAGUAAUUCUGUUUAGUGCCUGCCGGAUGCCUCCCAGUUAUCAGCUUGAUCAUGUGAAAUUGCUGAGCUACUUGAAGUAUACACUGGACCAAUAUGUGGAGAGUGAUUACACCCUAGUGUAUUUGCACCAUGGCCUGACCAGUGAGAACAAACCAUCUCUGAGUUGGUUGCGGGAUGCUUACCGGGAGUUUGACCGCAAAUACAAAAAGAACAUCAAAGCAUUGUACAUUGUGCAUCCAACCAUGUUCAUCAAGACUCUGUUGAUCCUCUUCAAGCCCCUGAUCAGCUUUAAGUUUGGAAGGAAGAUUUUCUAUGCAAACUACCUGAGUGACCUGGAGGAACAUGUGAAACUGGAACAACUGGGGAUCCCAAGCCAGGUGCUAAAGUAUGAUGAAUAUCUGAGAUCACUUCAAAAGCCCUCCCAAGUGCCUCAGAAAGUCACACCACCCCGCCCACCACUGCCCAACCAACAGUUCGGGGUCUCUCUCCAGCACUUAAGGGAGAAGAGCUCAGACCAGAAUCCCAUUCCACUGGUGGUCAGGGAGACUAUUGCCUUUCUACAGGAGCACGCUGUUGCCACACAAGGAAUUUUUCGGCGAUCCGCAAAUACACAAACAGUCAGAGAAGUUCAGCAGAAAUAUAAUAUGGGACUGCCAGUGGACUUCUUGCAAUACGAAGAUGUUCACCUUCCUGCUGUGAUUCUCAAGACCUUUUUGAGGGAUCUGCCAGAGCCUCUUCUCACAUUUGGUCUCUAUAGUGAUGUUGUCAAUUUCUCCCAUGUAGAGGAGGAAAAGCGUGUGGAUAUUGUUCGCAAAAUACUUCAGACUCUCCCAGAGGAAAACUACCAAGUGUUACAUGUACUGAUGACCUUCCUUGAGCAGGUUUCUGCUAACAGUGACACCAACAAGAUGACCAAUGCUAACCUUGCAGUAGUUUUUGGCCCAAACCUGUUGUGGGCCAAAGAUGCAGCCAUAACCCUGAAAGCCAUCAAUCCGAUCAACACUUUCACAAAGUUCCUGUUGGAUAACCAAAGAGAGCUUUUCCAGAACAUGGAGGCUUGACUCAGAGUCUGUCUUAUGUUACUGUGCUCUGUGUCCACUCUGACCCUCCUCUUUUCUCUCUUCCCAAUUUUCCUUUCAACUGUGUCCUGGAGUCGUGGCCAACUCUUGGGAAACUCUAGGUGGUGAGCAGAGUGGAAGAGGGUGUGUAUGUGAGAGAUGGGUGUGUGUGUGUGUGUGU